GACGUAGGGCGCGAGCGUUGUCCGGAUUUAUUGGGCGUAAAGAGCUCGUAGGCGGCUUGUUGCGUCGGCUGUGAAAACCCGCGGCUUAACCGUGGGCUUGCAGCCGAUACGGGCAGGCUAGAGUUCGGUAGGGGAGACUGGAAUUCCUGGUGUAGCGGUGAAAUGCGCAGAUAUCAGGAGGAACACCGGUGGCGAAGGCGGGACUCUGGGCCGAUACUGACGCUGAGGAGCGAAAGCGUGGGGAGCGAACAGG
rnacentral:rRNA from 1 species